UACGGGGGGGGCAAGCGUUGUUCGGAAUUACUGGGCGUAAAGGGCUCGUAGGCGGCCAACUAAGUCGGACGUGAAAUCCCUCGGCUUAACCGGGGAACUGCGUCCGAUACUGGAUGGCUUGAGUUUGGGAGAGGGAUGCGGAAUUCCAGGUGUAGCGGUGAAAUGCGUAGAUAUCUGGAGGAACACCGGUGGCGAAGGCGGCAUCCUGGACCGGCAUUGACGCUGAGGCGCGAAAACCAGGGGAGCAAACGGG
rnacentral:rRNA from 1 species